rnacentral:lncRNA from 1 species
CCUGUAUCCUCAUUGUAUCUAGGACAUAAUUAAUUUGCUUUUGAUUUAACAGGCUCAUAGGGGAAAAGGACUUGCCUUGUCUCAGAUGAGACUUUGGGCUUGGACUUUUGAGUUAAUGCUGGAAUGAGUUACGCCUCUGGGGUACUGUUACGAAGGCAUGAUUGGUGUUGGAAAGGCAUAAUUGUGUUUUGAAAUGUGAGGACAUGAGAUUUGGAAGGGCCCAGGGGUGGUUUACCUCAUGCUGUUCUCAUGAUAAUGAGUGAGUCUCACAAGAUCUGAGGGAUUUAUAAAUGUAUGGCAUUUCCCCUGCUCGCACUCAUUCUCUCUCCUAACACCCUGUGAAGAGGUGCUUUCACCAUGAUUAUCAAGGUACAUGAAAAAGGACCCGGACAAUGGCCCCUGGACAGUGCCUGGCACCUAGAAACACAAGCAUUAUCUGAAGGAAUUAAUUGUUAUUUCCUUAACACCUCGUAACUGUACUUGGCAUAAAGCGGAAGCUCAGUGAAGGUUUCGGAAGUGUGGAUUUUGAAAAUAAUAAAUGUAUACAGGAAGAAAGAACCCAAAUGACACUCAAAAGUCAUUCAAGCAUCUCAUAUCUCUUCGUUUUACCACUUGAGUGGACACUAACUAGUAAUUUUCCUAAUCUUUAAAUCAAAAUACUGCUGUGACAACUGUCUGCUAAGUACUCUGAUAUACCUAAUAUUUUUUGUUUGUUUUGGACUAAGAAGCAUUAUCUCAGUAUUUUCAAACCCAACUUCUCAUGCACUGCUAAAUACAGUCACUAAGUGUUCUAUACCCCUGGAAUCAAGAUCAUCUGUCCUUGCUGUCUUAAGUUUUGCCUCUGGUGGAGGUGAGUGCACCUGCCACCAUCAUCAAAAGCUUAGACUGCCCCUUUUCUACUGGCUGUAAGAGAGGAGGGAGCAUUUUCUUCUCUCUGGGGGCACAUUUCACUCUCAAACGUGGGUUCUAGUUUGAAAGACAGCAACAUAUUUGCAGAUGGGCUGCAAUAUUAUUUGUUUCAGAAUAAAUAAGGAAAUCAAGUAGCUAACAUUCCUUUACUUCCCCAAAGAAAGAAAAAUGUUAAUUCAGUCUGAAUAAUAAACAGAAUCAGGUCUUGCUAAAUCAGCCAUUUAUCAAAUUGACUCUGUUGCACUUAUGCCCAAUUGAUCCACAUACAAUUAUCGUGACUGGCAUACGUUGCUAAAGUUUGGGGGCUGAUGGAGGAGAGAGGGAACAGAUAGUACUGCACACAUCAUUACCCAGCUGGGGCCUAUGAGCCAAGGGUGCAAUGAGGUGGCCAGCAGCCUCAGGAUAAACAUGGCUUAUUGUACUGGAGCACUGACAUUUUCAAAACUUUGGAGAGAACGAAUUCUAGACAAUUAAAUGUAAACUUAUCAAGAACUAUCCUUUUUAUAUAAAACAAUGUCAAGGAUUUUAAGAACUAGAAUGAACUUUUACAUGAAUUUAUGAGCUAAAAGAUAAAAUUGUAAAGGGAAAUCCCUUAGGCAAAAAGGCUUCUUAAGUUAUAUAAUCAGUCCCUGCACUGUCCCCACUGCCAUUAGGGAUUUCAGCAGAAAUAUUUAAGAAGUUCAACCACAAACAAGGCUGCCUUACUAUUUCCAGCACACCAAGCCCUAACACACACAUCCACCUCCCAGCUGUACUUUCUUUCCUUUCUUACAAAACCCCAACUGGUUCAUUCAUGACCCACUCAGGGAUACUCCCUUAAGGAAAUUUUCCCAGAAUUAACCCAAAUAAGGUUAACCCAAGUAACCCACUCCCCAAUACAAUGCAUGAGCAUCUGAGACUCACUCAUUCCACCAGCUUUCAAUUUCUGCUUCCCUACCAGGGUGCAAGAUUCUCCACUCUGGAGCUGACUUUCAUCUCUGCACUCAUAAUUCCUGCUACCUUCUGGGCUCAAUAACUAUCUGAAGAAUCCAUGAACUUACUUUUAAUCUUGGAUGGUUGUGCUGAAAUUGAUGAGAGAAUAGUGGCCAAGAAAGUCACAUGGGCAAGAAGAGAUGAAAGCAGAGGGUUAGGAGUGAAGGGGGGAGUGACAAGACAUGAGGCUGGAGAAAUAAGCAAAGGCCAGACCAAAGUAAAGAAGAUGAAUUUAGAAUGAGUGCAAUGAGAAGCCUUCAGAAUUUGCAUAGAGGCACUCAUAAAUUUGCAAGUUAUUGCAAUUUCC